GAUGGUUCACUUCAAACUUAAAUGCCCUCAGAAUAAGCUGAUUCCCUCAAAGAAGUUCUUAAUAGGCUACAAUUCAACAGAGCACGUCCCUAUGCCUGAUGCCACUUAGGAGAAGGCACGGAAGGGUAUGCUGCAAAUGCUGGUCCUCUACUAGUGGAAUCGGGUUAGUCCAGGCAGGCAAAGGACAACAGAGUUUAGGACCGUGAUGGAAUAAAUUUGAUUGGUUCAUUGAUUAGUUUGGCUAAUUUCAGUCUAUAUAAACUCAUUUCCCCCUCAAUAUCAGGGUAUUGUGGAUUGUGUGUGCAUCUUAAAAAUUGACUUAGGUAAGUAUCUCACAUCUCCACUUUAUGUAGUAAUUUUAAAAGACAGGUUCAAGGUUCAUAGUUUGUGGAAUAAUGUAUGUGGCACCAUUGUCUACAA
rnacentral:lncRNA from 1 species